rnacentral:rRNA from 1 species
UACGUAGGGGGCAAGCGUUGUCCGGAAUCAUUGGGCGUAAAGCGCGUGUAGGCGGCCUUGUAAGUCCGUUCUGAAAGUCCGGGGCUCAACCCCGGGAGGCGGAUGGAUACUGCAAGGCUCGAGUCCGGAAGAGGCAAGUGGAAUUCCCGGUGUAGCGGUGAAAUGCGCAGAUAUCGGGAGGAACACCGGUGGCGAAGGCGGAUCUCUGGGCCUUGCCUGACGCUGAGGCGCGAAAGCUAGGGGAGCGAACAGG